CAGCCGCCGCGGGAAUACGAAGGGGGCUAGCGUUGCUCGGAAUGACUGGGCGUAAAGGGCGCGUAGGCGGUUCGUACAGUUGGAUGUGAAAUUCCUGGGCUUAACCUGGGGGCUGCAUUCAAUACGUGCGGGCUUGAGUGUGGAAGAGGGUUGUGGAAUUCCCAGUGUAGAGGUGAAAUUCGUAGAUAUUGGGAAGAACACCGGUGGCGAAGGCGGCGACCUGGUCCUUUACUGACGCUGAGGCGCGAAAGCGUGGGGAGCAAACAGGAUUAGAGACCCCCGUAGUCCCUGUCUCUUAUAC
rnacentral:rRNA from 1 species